UUGAACGCUGGCGGCAUGCUUUACACAUGCAAGUCGAACGGUAGCAGGCCGCAAGGUGCUGACGAGUGGCGAACGGGUGAGUAAUGCAUCGGAACGUGCCCAGUCGUGGGGGAUAACUACUCGAAAGAGUAGCUAAUACCGCAUACGAUCUAUGGAUGAAAGCGGGGGACCGUAAGGCCUCGCGCGAUUGGAGCGGCCGAUGUCAGAUUAGGUAGUUGGUGGGGUAAAGGCUCACCAAGCCAACGAUCUGUAGCUGGUCUGAGAGGACGACCAGCCACACUGGGACUGAGACACGGCCCAGACUCCUACGGGAGGCAGCAGUGGGGAAUUUUGGACAAUGGGCGCAAGCCUGAUCCAGCAAUGCCGCGUGCAGGAAGAGGGCCUUCGGGUUGUAAACUGCUUUUGUACGGAACGAAACGGCUCUGGUUAAUACCCGGGGCUAAUGACGGUACCGUAAGAAUAAGCACCGGCUAACUACGUG
rnacentral:rRNA from 1 species